UACGGGGGGGGCAAGCGUUGUUCGGAAUUACUGGGCGUAAAGGGCUCGUAGGCGGCCAACUAAGUCAGACGUGAAAUCCCUCGGCUUAACCGGGGAGCUGCGUCUGAUACUGGAUGGCUAGAGGUUGGGAGAGGGAUGCGGAAUUCCAGGUGUAGCGGUGAAAUGCGUGGAUAUCUGGAGGAACACCGGUGGCGAAGGCGGCAUCCUGGACCAAUUCUGACGCUGAGGAGCGAAAGCCAGGGGAGCAAACGGG
rnacentral:rRNA from 1 species